rnacentral:rRNA from 1 species
UACGUAGGGGGCUAGCGUUGUCCGGAAUCAUUGGGCGUAAAGAGCGCGUAGGCGGCCCGGUAAGUCCGCUGUGAAAGUCAAAGGCUCAACCUUUGAAUGUCAGCGGAUACUGCCGGGCUAGAGUCCGGAAGAGGAGAGUGGAAUUCCUGGUGUAGCGGUGAAAUGCGCAGAUAUCAGGAAGAACACCCGUGGCGAAGGCGGCUCUCUGGGACGGUACUGACGCUGAGACGCGAAAGCGUGGGGAGCGAACAGG